AUUUCUCUGAGAUGUUUGCAAGCGGGCCAGUCCCCUGAGCCGAUAUUUCAAACCACAAGAAUGUGACGCUCCAUGUUCGGUGUGCAUGCCCGGCCAGUCCGGGAAGCCUUAAGAAUAUGACGACGCAUUCACCUUGAACCACGGGUUCAAGGGUUACAGCCUGCGGCGGCAUCUCGGAGAUCCC
rnacentral:other from 1 species